rnacentral:rRNA from 2 species
CCCUUUGGGUGUGACUGCGUACCUUUUGUAUAAUGGGUCAGCGACUUAUAUUCUGUAGCAAGGUUAACCGAAUAGGGGAGCCGGAGGGAAACCGAGUCUUAACCGGGCGUUAAGUUGCAGGGUAUAGACCCGAAACCCGGUGAUCUAGCCAUGGGCAGGUUGAAGGUUGGGUAACACUAACUGGAGGACCGAACCGACUAAUGUUGAAAAAUUAGCGGAUGACCUGUGGCUGGGGGUGAAAGGCCAAUCAAACCGGGAGAUAGCUGGUUCUCCCCGAAAGCUAUUUAGGUAGCGCCUCGUGAAUUCAUCUCCGGGGGUAGAGCACUGUUUCGGCUAGGGGGCCAUCCCGGCUUACCAACCCGAUGCAAACUGCGAAUACCGGAGAAUGUUAUCACGGGAGACACACGGCGGGUGCUAACGUCCGUCGUGAAGAGGGAAACAACCCAGACCGCCAGCUAAGGUCCCAAAGUCAUGGUUAAGUGGGAAACGAUGUGGGAAGGCCCAGACAGCCAGGAUGUUGGCUUAGAAGCAGCCAUCAUUUAAAGAAAGCGUAAUAGCUCACUGGUCGAGUCGGCCUGCGCGGAAGAUGUAACGGGGCUAAACCAUGCACCGAAG